UCUGUUAAUUAGGGAAUCUGUGAUGUAAGUUCACAGCAGGACUUCGAUGCUGAGUGGUAAAGCUGCCUGGUCCUGAGCAAGAGACUCACACUUCCAGUCCAACACAUGCAGACAUGCCAACUAUGAGAAGGCAGGUACAGAGGCCUGAACUAAAAACAGUGAAGUAACCCUACAGAGAAGCCAGAUGUUGGAGAAAUGAAACACUACAAGGUUAAAAAUGAGGGGGAUUUUUUCUUAAUUCUCUCAGAGCAAGAAGGCUGCCAAGCAGUUUCUAGAGGAAAGAAGAGAACCUAUAUUUUCGUAUCAGCUCAUAGCAGAUCAGUGUUGAAGGGAACUCCAGGUGGGACUUUCUGUUCUGAAAAAGGAUCAGGUAAACCUGGACGUCCCUCAUCCAGUUGUUUAAACCUUUUUUAAAAUCUUCC